UCAAAGAUUAAGCCAUGCAUGUCUAAGUAUAAGCACUUAUACCGUGAAACUGCGAAUGGCUCAUUAAAUCAGUUAUCGUUUAUUUGAUAGUACCUUACUACUUGGAUAACCGUGGUAAUUCUAGAGCUAAUACAUGCUAAAAACCUCAACUUCGGAAGGGGUGUAUUUAUUAGAUAAAAAACCAAUGCCCUUCGGGGCUUCUUGGUGAUUCAUAAUAACUUAACGAAUCGCAUGGCCUUGCGCCGGCGAUGGUUCAUUCAAAUUUCUGCCCUAUCAACUUUCGAUGGUAGGAUAGUGGCCUACCAUGGUAUCAACGGGUAACGGGGAAUUAGGGUUCUAUUCCGGAGAGGGAGCCUGAGAAACGGCUACCACAUCCAAGGAAGGCAGCAGGCGCGCAAAUUACCCAAUCCCGACACGGGGAGGUAGUGACAAUAAAUACUGAUACAGGGCUCUUUUGGGUCUUGUAAUUGGAAUGAGUACAAUUUAAAUCCCUUAACGAGGAACAAUUGGAGGGCAA
rnacentral:rRNA from 1 species